UUUCCGUAGGUGAACCUGCGGAAGGAUCAUUAACGAGUUAGGGUCUUCUAGGCCCGACCUCCCAACCCUUUGUUUACUGAACCAUUGUUGCCUCGGUGGGUCCGUCUUACGACCGCCGGGGGAUCGCCGCGAGGCGCCCCCUGGCCAGCGCCCACCGAUAGCCCAACCUUUAAAACCCUUUGUGAAUCGUGUCUUAUGUCUAAAUUUAUGAUUAAACAAUCAAAACAAGACUUUCAACAACGGAUCUCUUGGUUCUG
rnacentral:misc_RNA from 1 species